UUGCACGCUGGCGGCAUGCUUUACACAUGCCAGUCGCACGGCAGCGGGGAGGAGCUUGCUUCUCUGCCGGCGAGUGGCGAACGGGUGAGUAAUACAUCGGAACGUGUCGAGAAGAGGGGGAUAACCACCCGAAAGGGUGGCUAAUACCGCAUAAAUUCUGAGGAAGAAAGCUGGGGACCUGGGAAUAGGCCUAGCGCUUUUUGAGCGGCCGAUGUCGGAUUAGCUAGUUGGUGAGGUAAAGGCUCACCAAGGCGAAGAUCUGUAGCGGGUCUGAGAGGAUGAUCCGCCACACUGGGACUGAGACACGGCCCAGACUCCUACGGGAGGCAGCAGUGGGGAAUUUUGGACAAAGGGGGCAACCCUGAUCCAGCCAUGCCGCGUGUAUGAAGAAGGCCUUAGGGUUGUAAAGUACUUUUGUUAGGGAAGAAAAGUCAGCUGUGAAUAAUGGCUGAUACUGACGGUACCUAAAGAAUAAGCACCGGCUAACUACGUG
rnacentral:rRNA from 1 species